GCUGCUGUCGUGCAAACCCACCCACAACCCCCCGGGCGCCACCCGCGCCGGCAGCGCCGCUUGGCCCCGCUGAGCUCCCGUCGGUCGCUGCCGGGGGCGGGGCCGCAGCGGCAGCCAUGGCGGCGCCCAUCGUCCCGGAGACUGAGAGCAUCCGCAAGGCCGUGUCGCUGCUGAACGCCGUGGCGGCGGGCCGCUUCCCGCGCCUGCUCUCCCGCCUCCUCCAGAAGCUGCACCUGAAGGCUGAAAGCAGCUUCAGUGAAGAGGAGGAAGAAAAACUUCAAGUAGCUUUUUCAUUGGAAAAGCAGGAUCUUCAUCUAGUUCUUGAAACAAUAUCAUUCAUUUUGGAACAGGCAGUCUAUCAUAAUUUGAAGCCUGCUGCACUGCAACAGCAGCUGCAAAGCAUUCACCUCGAUCAAGACAAAGCAGAAGCAUUUGCCAGUGCAUGGGCAGCUGCAGGUCAAGAUACGAUUGAAAAGUUCAGGCAGAGGGUUUUGACCCCUCAGAAGCUUGAAACAAUUGGAUGGCAGCUUAAUCUUCAAAUGGCCGAGUCCAUGCAAGCAAAACUAAAAUCUCCUCGAGCUGUACUAGAGCUGGGAGUGAGCAAUGAAGAUUCAAAGUUUUAACAGACUUUCUGUACACUUCUGGACUGUGGGCAAAUCUAGACCUUAGAAGAGUUGCCCUGUUUCCUUCAAACCUGAAGAAAGUGUUUGCAGAAUUUAGUCACCAGGAGCUGUUUGAGUUCUAUAACAAGCUGGAGACUAUACAAGCACAGCUGGAUUCCCUUACGUGAUGUUUUCGAAGACUUAUUUCUCCAUCACACUCCUGCCACCUCAUUAUUUUGAAUUGAAGAUAGAUUGCCAAGCUGUGUUUGCUGAAGGAUUCAGUGGGUUGCUUCCUGUAAAAUUAUAUGGCUUAUCUCCUUUUAGACCAGUAACAUUAGCCAAGGGCGAGUGUGUUAAGAGUUCUGAAGGUUCGAAUGGACUUUCUCUUGUUUUUCUGAGCAUUUGUGAAGAAUGGUUUUACUUGCAGGAAAAAAAAGAGAAUGCUAUCCUGCUUCAGAGAUUUUUUUUUUGUCCUGUUACAUGUGAUGUUUGAUUCCAAUGGAAAUUUGCAUACUAGUGAGGGACCAGGAAUAAAAUUUAUCUUUUAGACAUAAAAGGAAUAUAAAACUCUAGUAGGAACAGUAGUAAUAAAAUAUAUAGCUAAUGAAAUCUCCGUCUUUCUGAAUUGUUAUUCACAUGAUUGAUAAUGCUUAUUGUAAAUUUGUCAAAAUAAAUUCGGAAUAUAAAAAUGGA